GGAUGUGAUCAUACCAGCACUAACGCACCGGAUCCCAUCAGAACACCGAAGUAGUACUAGGAUGGGUGACCCCCUUGGAUGUCCUCGUGUUACAUCCC
rnacentral:rRNA from 1 species